UUCUAACCGCCUCAAGAAAUU
rnacentral:piRNA from 1 species